ensembl:lncRNA
AGGUUUCCACUGUAGUUUGAAGCCCAUGACCCUUCUGUGCCCCGUUGUGGGCACCUCUCUCUUGUUAACCUCUGGCAUCCUGACUUCUGACCUGCUGCAGACCUAACUUCAAAACCUCAGUGAUUUGCAUUAGGCUCAAGGUAAUUUUUUUUUAAUUAUGCUAGAUAAAACUAUACUCACAGCUUUAAAAUGAUGGAUGAUAUGCACCAAGCCUCAAGAAAAUUGCUCUCUAAAUUGUCAAACGAGAUAUUGCAUGCAAAGAAACUAAGUAUCUUAAAAGAACAACAUAUCAGUUUGAAAAUCAGUACCUUUCAAAUAUUUCAGGCCUAUUUAAACCAAGUUGGCAUAAAAUACCCCGCCUCCAAAGCAGUAACACUAUUAAUAAAGUGUUAUGUCUUUUUUGCUUCACCAGAGUCAGCCCUGUGGAGACAGGGACUGUGAUUCUGUCCCAUCUGUAUCACCAGUGCUGCUGUCAGUGCCUGGCAUAUGGAUAUGCUUGGUAAAUACUUGCUACAUGAAUGCAGUAAUUAAUGAAAACCAAAAGACAUAUUCCUUAAAAAAAUACAUAGGGAGUUCCCUGGUGGCCUAGAAGUUAAGGAUCUGGUGUUGUCACUGCUGUGGUUCACAUUCCAUCUCUGGCCUGAGAACUUUUUCAUGCUGUGGGUACAGCCCCCAAAAAUACAUAUACUGCAGUUUCUAUGUUUGAUUGUUCAUAUUAAUUGAAAAUGUCAUUAAAUUGAUAACUAGUCAAGUCAGUGGUGUAUUUACGAAUUCAUGUUCCUUGGAGUUAACAGCUGGACCCAAAAGCAACUAUCAGAAAGAGGGACAUAAAUCCCUUGGCCCCAUUUGAGUUCUUUGGACUGGACUACUAAUAAAAUCAAUACAAAACAGAUGAACAGGAGAAAAAGAAACACAUUUGAAUUCAUAUGCAUGGAAGUCUUACUGAAAGAGGACCUAAAAAGUGGUCAAAGCAGGCCACUGUAAUACUUUCUAGACAAAGAAACAAUAUAUUUGUGAGGAAUUGAUAAGAUGAAGAAAUUAGGUUUGAAAUGCUCAAUCAGGAAGAAUUCAAGAAGUUUGGUCUUGGGGUAGUCAAUUAAAGAAGUAAUAGUUUUGUUUAUUAUAGGCUUCUCCCCCUUAAGUCCCUCUCUCUGUCGGUAAGGGGGUCUUUCUACCUCCAGAGGCCGGAAGUGCACCUUUCCAUGCGAGGUUUAUUUCCUGCUUUCAAAGAGGUGGGAGGCCCAAUGUGUCCCUCUGCAUUGGCCAUUUCUUAAGUAGCUGUAAUUCAAAAUAACAUGUCUAUUGAGGCAUAUCUUGGGGUGGCCUCAAUAGACACAAUUAAAACACAAUUAAAACUCUGAUCCUUGUGAGAAUGUUCUGUAUGCAGAGUGUGUGUUUCUAUGAAAUAAAAGUCCCAAAAGCAAGUAAUGUAUUCUAGCCCCCUUGGAAGAUUGUCGAGUUUUAUUCAAGAAAACUUAACUGGAGCAUGCUAUUUUAGAGAGUUGGCUUCAUUUGUUUUCAAAUUAGUGUACAAAGGAUAUUUGUACUCAAAGAUUUUUUUUUUUUUAUUUUUUUUUUAUUUUUUUUUUUUAAUUUUCCCACUGUACAGCAAGGGGGUCAGGUUAUCCUUACAUGUAUACAUUGCAAUUACAGUUUUUCCCCCACUCUUUCUUCUGUUGCAACAUGAGUACCUAGACAUAGUUCUCAAUGCUAUUCAGCAGGAUCUCCUUGUAAAUCUAUUCUAGGUUGUGUCUGAUAAGCCCAAGCUCCCGAUCCCUCCCACUCCCUCCCCCUCCCAUCAGGCAACCACAAGUCUCUUCUCCAAGUCCAUGAUUUUCUUUUCUGAGGAGAUGUUCAUUUGUGCUGGAUAUUAGAUUCCAGUUAUAAGUGAUAUCAUAUGGUAUUUGUCUUUGUCUUUCUGGCUCAUUUCACUCAGUAUGAGAUUCUCUAGUUCCAUCCAUGUUGCUGUAAAUUCUUUGCAUAUACACUUCCUAAAUUUGUUGUUAAUUCAUUUACAUCCUUUUAUAAAAAAAUAUCUGAACAGGCGUGGUGUUGUUUUAGUUUGUGUGAAUUUGGACACCUGUGAUCAAGACUAAAGCUAAAUACUUCCUUUUUAAUUUUAGAGCAAAACUAUAUAUGACUUUUUGGCUGCAUGACUGGAGUGAAUAAUGUUACCUAUCGGCUCAUGGGUCUUCACACACCAUGUUUAAUCAAGAACAUAUUUUCACUUGUAGCGUUCAGCUUGUCACAUGCCUAUCAGUUUACUGUCAGGCAAGAUAAAGCACAUCAUAAAGUGCACCCGUUCUUAUUGCUCUCUUUUGAAGUCAAGUACUAGAGAUGACAGUAAACAUGACAGCUUUUGUGAUUGGCAACAUUUUUGCUCACAUCUUGUUAUUCAUAAUACUUUGGGUAGACAAUAUUACCAGAAAUAAUCCAUGGUGGAACAAUCGUUCCUGCAUCAUCAACCACGAAAUGAUUUCUAAGCUUUUUCCUAGGUUUUUAUUGUUUUUCAGAUUUUCCCCUCACUUCAGCCAAAAGCUUAACUAAACUUGUUAUCAAAUUAAUUGGGAAGGGGAAAAAAAGGGAAAAGAGAAUAUUAAAGGCUGACUCUUUAAUUCUUGACUCAAAGGCGAUAUUUGCCAACAUUUAAGAACCAGAAUUUAUACUAAAAGAUAAAGUCAAGACUGAGUAUAAGAGAGAAAUAAACUUCAAAAAUAUAAAGGAUGUAAAAGUGAGUUUUGAUUGAAUAUGUAAUUAUAGCACUUGGAAAGCAUAUUAAUGAGAUGAACAUUCCAGAUGAUAUGUGAAAUGUAGACAGUAUUCUAGGCUUAAUAGCCACAAUGACUGUU